GAUGAACGCUGGCGGCGUGCCUAAUACAUGCAAGUCGAGCGAACAGACGAGGAUCUUGCUCCUCUUACGUUAGCGGCUGACGGGUGAGUAACACGUGGAUAACCUACCUAUAAGACUUGGAUAACUUCGGGAAACCGGAGCUAAUACCGGAUAAUAUAUUGAACCGCAUUGUUCAAUAGUGAAAUACGGUUUUUCUGUCACUUAUAGAUGGUUCCGCGCCGCAUUAGCUAGUUGGUAAGGUAACGGCUUACCAAGGCAACGAUGCGUAGCCGACCUGAGAGGGUGAUCGGCCACACGGGAACUGAGACACGGUCCAGACUCCUACGGGAGGCAGCAGUAGGGAAUAGUACGCAAUGGGCGAAAGCUUGACGGAGCAACGCCGAGUGAGUGAUGAAGGUAUUCGGAUCGUAAAACUCUGUUAUGAGGGAAGAAAAAAUGUGUAAGGAACUAUGCACGGAUUGACGGUAACUAAUCAGAAAGCAACGGCUAACUACGUG
rnacentral:rRNA from 1 species